UACAGAGGUCCCAAGCGUUGUUCGGAUUCAUUGGGCGUAAAGGGUGCGUAGGCGGCGCGGUAAGUCGGGUGUGAAAUCUCGGAGCUUAACUCCGAAACUGCAUUCGAUACUGCCGUGCUUGAGGACUGGAGAGGAGACUGGAAUUUACGGUGUAGCGGUGAAAUGCGUAGAUAUCGUGAGGAAGACCAGUGGCGAAGGCGGGUCUCUGGACAGUUCCUGACGCUGAGGCACGAAGGCCAGGGGAGCAAACGGG
rnacentral:rRNA from 1 species